ACUGACACUCUUAUUUUACAUGAACGCGAAGCACGCGUUGAAUUUUGAUUUCCAAUGAGUAUCCUUAUUGGGAGUGUACGUACACAAGGGGUGCAAUAGUGGGGACAAUAUUUCGCAAUAUAAAUCGUAAUGUACUUUUGGUAAUUCCAGUGAAGGCUUGACAACCAUGAGGGCCUUGUUGUUAGUGAGUUUUGUUGUUUUCGGAACGUUUGGUUUUAGGCGCGCCCCUCAAAGGACUGUAAUGUUCGGUGGUUAUUACCACCCCCUCGACUCCAGAAGCUACCCCCAAGGUUCGAUGAGCUUCGCGUCUGGCGAUACAAUCGCGACCAAUUCCUUCGUCGGAGAUGCUGAAGCUACAACGGAGAGGAGACCAGACUUUGAGGACGAUUUCGAAGUCGAGGCCUCAACUCCCAAACUGAAACGCAUCCCGAAGCGCAAGCCGGAAGAGAGCGAGGAGGAGGAGGAGGAGGAGGAGGAGCCCUCCUGGCCGUUUUCCGGGCGCAACGUCCCGUCGUACAACGCGUUUUUCCCGAUCAUGUUCGGGGGAGGGUCCCCGUCCGGGCGGAAAUCCGGGGACGGCCAAGGCUACUAUCCCGGAUCGGCUACAGCCAUAGCGAACAGCUUCAGUACCGGGAAAGGUGGUGUUGCCACAAGCCAUGCGACGUCGUACGGAGACCCCUACUUGAGCACUCUUUUCAGAAACCGAAAAGGGUCCAAGCCCAGCUUAGAAUAGGCACGAUUGUGUUGCGCACUGUCAUUUUUUCAUCAUUAGAAAUAAAGUAGUAGUCAUCAAAAAUCCAAAUUGUCUUAUUUACACACGAGAAACAAAGGAAUUCCCCGCGUAAGUACCCGAAAACCAAUUGAAGGUCAAUGUUUUCCUAACAACUACUAAAACAAUUUUUUAUAUACAUUUUUGUCCACGGGCUGGGAGUAUAUAUAAGUCUAGUCGCACAAUCCGGUAAACAAAAACCAGUUUCGCCGAAGACUAUUUAAGAGGAAGAAGAGUCAUAAGUGUGAUUUAGACAAGAUGAAGCCCGUGCUAGUGCUAGCCCUCGUUCUGCCACUCGCCCUCUGCGACACUUACGACUUAAUCCGCGUCGUGCGCUCGCCGACGCACCACCUGGGCUUCAAUAAAGGUUUCGGUGGCGGUUACGGUGGCGGCGGCGGAUUUGGCGGUGGAGGUGGAUUUGGCGGCGGCGGCGGCUUUGGAGGUGGUUUCGGUGGCGGAUUUGGCGGCGGCGGCGGUGGAGGUUUGGGAGGACUCAAAGGAAAAUUACUCGGCGGCGGAUUGGGAGGCGGAUAUGGAGGCAAAGGAGGAUACUAUGGAGGAGGGCCCGGUUAUGGAGGCUCCGGUUUUGGAGGCUCGAGUGCCACUGCCAACGCACAGUCCUCCAGUUUUAGAGGCGGCGGCUUCGGAGGCUCGCAAGCCUCGGCCUCGGCCUCUGCACAGUCGUUCGGGGGCGGCUACGGGAGGCGGUGAUUAAAUAAUAAACGUAUUUAUGGUCAAAA